GCCUGGAGCCUAUCCCAGGGGACUCGUGGCUUCCAACUCCAGCAGAUGACAUAGCAUUGGAUUCUGUGCCUUUCCACUCUUCCUCCAGACUCUGGGGCCUUGAUUUUCAAAUGAAAUGCAAACUUUGCUUUCAUGUGUUUGUGAGACGUGGCGGUGCAUUUCGGGUUUCAGUCGGCGUCCAGUGCUGUGACAGGGUUAUACAACCGUGUGAAAGACGGGGCUGUGCUGAUCUGUGCCUGGGCCGAGAUGGGUGCCGACGCCAUGGGUCCUGAUGGCACCAUAAUUCACGCUGAUGCCUUUCCUCCUGAGAAACUGGUGGACACGCUCGGAGCUGGAGACACCUUCAA